rnacentral:rRNA from 1 species
CAGCCGCCGCGGGAAUACAGAGGGUGCGAGCGUUAAUCGGAUUUACUGGGCGUAAAGCGUGCGUAGGCGGCUUUUUAAGUCGGAUGUGAAAUCCCUGAGCUUAACUUAGGAAUUGCAUUCGAUACUGGGAAGCUAGAGUAUGGGAGAGGAUGGUAGAAUUCCAGGUGUAGCGGUGAAAUGCGUAGAGAUCUGGAGGAAUACCGAUGGCGAAGGCAGCCAUCUGGCCUAAUACUGACGCUGAGGUACGAAAUCAUGGGGAGCAAACAGGAUUAGAUACCCCAGUAGUCCCUGUCUCUUAUAA